UCCCCCAGCCGCCCCCGUACGCGCCGCCCUGCUGGUGGAGCUCACCUGUGCCGCCAUGGAUCUCGGUGGUGUUGGAGGCCCGUUCUGCAACGUUGGCCUCCCCAAGGUCCUGCUGGUGACCUGGACGCUCGCUGGCGCUGCUCCGGUUCCUCAUGCCGGUGUGAUUUAAGAACCAACCGGCGGGCGCUCCUAUUUUGCGUGGUAUCCGUCCACGUGCCGCGGUGUGGUAGCUAGAGAGAGGAGCGGUGACGAGGUGUGUGUUAAGAAAGCAAGAAAAAAAGGGGGAGAAGGGGGUUAACACCACGGUCAAAUCCCUCGACGGCAGCACGCUCACCGCAGAGGGAGGACGCGCAACCGGCGAGGAGGAUGGCCACGGAGCAGAGUUGACGCGCUCCUCUUCCUCCCUCUCAUGUGGAAAAGAAAAAGUAGGACACGACGAGCGCCUCUCUGUCUCUCUCUCGCACGCGCGGAAAUGGAGAUGUGAGGGGGAAGGUGCUGCCUCGCCGGUGCCGCCCUGGCUCGCCGCGCCGGCGGUGGCUCGCGCACCGGAACUGAGCGGGCGGGCGAGAGAGGAAUGGACGAGCGAGAGAGGCGCUGGGGGCGGAAUGGCGUUAGAAUUUCUGAUGGAUCGAUUGGGUCAGAGCUUUGAUCUGGCGAAAACGGCGCCGAACCGUCGGAUUGAAAUGGACGGUCAGGAUCCUAACUCUAAUGCGUUGUGGGCCGCUGGGUCGAAAGAAAAUGAGGCCGGUUGCGGUGGGGGGCAGCCACGCGCACUGGGCCGAGCCCAGCAGCUGCGGGCGCCGCUGCGCGACUGGGCCGCGCUGAGCCAAGGGCGGCUGGGCUGCGGUAGGCCAAGGCCAGCAGCUUCGCGCGCCAGGCCAGCUGCAUUUUUUUUAGGUUUUUUGUUAUUUGUCCAGUUUUUGGGCAGAUUUCAAAUAAGUUUUUCUAUACAAUUUUUUCCAACGAAAUUUUGUUUUAGAAGCAUCUAAAUUUUGUUUGGUUCCACAUAUGUUGAUUCCUUUUCUUGUAUGAGCGAUUUCCUCAAUUCCAAUUCUGGUUGGUAUGCUUUUGACCCUUUGUGCAGUUUCGGAAGGUUCUAAAAUUCUUAAUUGAAAAUGAGAACGGAGAACAUUCGCCAAUCACAAGGAACGUAGUCUAUGAAGAAAUCGCCCGUCGUUUAUAGUUUCGUUCUUACAUGCUUAUGGUUCCUCAUGUGCACAACGAAAACCAACCUUCGACAUUCAAGGAGUGCUUCGCUGUCGUAGAUUCCAGCAUGACACGUCUGAUGCCGUGGGAGGAACCAGUGAAGCCUACGAUUGCUAAUGCCAUCUUGAAGGAUUACGCUGAACGGUUAGAGAUGUCCAAGCGGACGGACGGAGAAGGGAUGUUAACAAUCUGAAGCUUGCCAAAAUUGAAAUCGGUGAUGAUGCGGCAUCAAGCAAGUCCAACAAGAUUGCUUAGACAUUAUCGUUGCAUCGAGGAGAUCAGGUCGUAUUUUGUAGUUUCUCAUGUGUAAAAAUAUCUGUCUUUGUACUUCUAUGUCAAGUAUGUUGGUUGUGGUCUACUAACUAA